CCCCAACUCCUCCGCCAAGCCGCGCAUGUCUAAGAGUCGCUGAGGAGCCCAGGCGAUUCACCCAGACUUCCGCUUCCGCUCCCGAGGACUGGCGCCUGCGCAAUAGCCGCGUCAUGGCGUGGACCCGGAAGGUAAAAUUGAGACCAAAGUAUCCCAACAAUGAAGCAUUAUGAAAAGGCCCCGAGCACAUCAGAUGUGACUUCUGUUCUGGGGUAGAAACCAGGGUCCUUACGUGUUAAGCACAUAUUCUACCAUUGAGCUACACCUCAAGCCAUCACAGAGUCUCAAUACAUCAAUACUGGAAGAAUGGAAAACUGAUUAAUCCUUGCCCCCUUUUUAUGUGUGGAGAAAUAGAAUCAAGGAAGGGAAUCUUCUCCUCUCAGCAGCACCUCUCACUGAUGGUGACAUUGACUACCUUUUAUGCUUGAUCCUGUCUGGGUAUGAAAACAUGUAUGUAGUGUGAAGGUACAAGAGGAACAAGCUUUCAAACAUUCUGAAAAGUAUUGAAAGUGAUAUAGCCCACACCACUAAAGCUUAUCUUUGCUUUUCAAACCCAGGCCCAAGGACAUUGAUCAAGUUGCAUUGUAUUCAAACUGACAUGUUGAAUUGAAAUCCCUUUGUACAACUACUUAAAAAUUAAAAAAAUUAAAAUGAACCCAGACCCUAA